rnacentral:rRNA from 1 species
UGAGGAAUAUUGGUCAAUGGGCGGGAGCCUGAACCAGCCAAGUCGCGUGAAGGAUGAAGGAUCUAUGGUUCGUAAACUUCUUUUAUAGGGGAAUAAAGUUCGGGACGUGUCCCGUUUUGUAUGUACCCUGUGAAUAAGGAUCGGCUAACUCCGUGCCAGCAGCCGCGGUAAUACGGAGGAUCCGAGCGUUAUCCGGAUUUAUUGGGUUUAAAGGGUGCGUAGGUGGUUUUUUAAGUCAGCGGUGAAAGUUUGUGGCUCAACCAUAAAAUUGCCGUUGAAACUGGAGGACUUGAGUAUGUUUGAGGUAGGCGGAAUGCGUGGUGUAGCGGUGAAAUGCAUAGAUAUCACGCAGAACUCCGAUUGCGAAGGCAGCUUACUAAACCAUAACUGACACUGAAGCACGAAAGCGUGGGGAUCAAACAGG